rnacentral:rRNA from 1 species
UGAGGAAUAUUGGUCAAUGGGCGGGAGCCUGAACCAGCCAAGCCGCGUGAGGGAGGAAGGCCCUAUGGGUCGCAAACCUCUUUUGUCAGGGAACAAAAGCGAGUAUGUAUACUAGUCUGAGUGUACCUGAAGAAAAAGCAUCGGCUAACUCCGUGCCAGCAGCCGCGGUAAUACGGAGGAUGCGAGCGUUAUCCGGAUUUAUUGGGUUUAAAGGGUGCGUAGGCGGCGGUGCAAGUCAGCGGUAAAAGCCCGGGGCUCAACCCCGGCGAGCCGUUGAAACUGCAGUGCUAGAGAAGGCGAGAGGUACGCGGAAUGCGCAGUGUAGUGGUGAAAUGCUUAGAUAUUGCGCAGAACUCCGAUUGCGAAGGCAGCGUACUGGCGCCUGACUGACGCUGAGGCACGAAAGCGUGGGGAUCGAACAGGAUUAGAUACCC